UAAAUAGGUAAGAUUUGGAGGAUACUUAAGUGAUCUUUCAAUCUCUUGAAUAUAAAGUUCUUAGUGGGCCAUUUUGGUAAGCAGAACUGGCGAUGUGGGAUGAACCGAACGUUAAGUUAAAGUGCCAAAUAGUACGCUCAUGAGAUACCAUAAAAGGUGUUGGUUCAUUUUGACAGCAGGACGGUGGCCAUGGAAGUCGGAACCCGCUAAGGAGUGUGUAACAACUCACCUGCCGAAUGAACUAGCCCUGAAAAUGGAUGGCGCUUAAGCGUAUAACUUAUACUUAACCCUUACUUGAAUUAUUAUAGCGAGUAAGGAGUAGGAGGGCGUAAAGUUUCUAUUAUAUUGGCUGUUAAGCAUCUAAGCGUAAGCUUAUGUGGAGCAAAACUUUAGUGUAGAUCUUGGUGGUAGUAGCAAAUAUUCAAAUGAGAACU
rnacentral:rRNA from 1 species